UAAACUGUCUAGAGCAAAUCCUUAUCUUAUUAUGUUAGAUCCACACUUGACUGCUUAAAACUACUCGUUAUCACAUGCUCGACUACGUAAACCAGCAGAGAUGCGUGCUUCUAGGUCUUUGA
rfam:Populus trichocarpa scaffold_1095_contig_2, whole genome shotgun sequence.